rnacentral:rRNA from 1 species
UACGGAGGGGGCUAGCGUUGUUCGGAAUUACUGGGCGUAAAGCGCACGUAGGCGGCUUUGUAAGUUAGAGGUGAAAGCCCGGGGCUUAACCCUGGAAUUGCCUUUAAGACUGCAUCGCUAGAAUCGUGGAGAGGUGAGUGGAAUUCCGAGUGUAGAGGUGAAAUUCGUAGAUAUUCGGAAGAACACCAGUGGCGAAGGCGACUCACUGGACACGUAUUGACGCUGAGGUGCGAAAGCGUGGGGAGCAAACAGG